rnacentral:tRNA from 1 species
AGUCUUAUAUUCAAAUAUGAUUUUAAAUUGCAAAUUUAAAGGUAAAUUUUUUUAAAUUUUAAGGCUU